CAAGGAGUCUAACAUGUGCGCAAGUCAUUGGGUUAAAAACCUAAAGGCAUAAUUAAAGUAAAGAAAGCUUUGCUUUAUUAGGGAGGAUAAUUAUUAACAUAUUUGUUGUAAUUCGCACUCCCGGGGUGUCUAUUACUCAUUGCGAGUAAAGGCACACCUAGAGCGUACACGUUGGGACCCGAAAGGUGGUGACCUAUGCCUGGCCAGGAUGAAGCCAGGGGAAACCCUGGUGGAGGUCCGUAGCGAUUCUGACGUGCAAAUCGAUCGUCAGAGCUAGGUAUAGGGGCGAUAGACUCAUCGAACCAUCUAGUAGCUGGUUCCCUCCGAAGUUUCCCUCAGGAUAGCUGGUGCCAAUGAUGAAAAGAGUCUCAUUUGGUAAAGCGAAUGAUUAGAGGCCUUGGGGUCGAAACGACCUCAACCUAUUCUCAAACUUUAAAUGGAUGAGAGCCUUGGCUUGCUUAAAAGUGAAGCCAGGGAUUCGGAUCUAGGUACCAAGUGGGCCAAUUUUGG
rnacentral:rRNA from 1 species